rnacentral:lncRNA from 1 species
AGCUAUAAACUUCAACCGGCCACAAGAGUGUGCAUGUGAGGUGACUGCAUUUUUUUUCCCUGCCAAACCAGAAUUAGCCGGUAUAGGAAUGAACGAGCAUGAAGAUUUGAAAUUGCUCCGAUUGGAAGGAAGCCCAGGUUAGGUUUGGGCACCUCCAAACGCACCCGUUUUAAAGCCACCUGGACUGAGGCGUCGAGCUUUCAGCUCCACCAAACGCUCACCUGGCCUGGCAGCGAGCGGCGGAAGAGCCCGGGAGCCCCUCACAGAGCGCACCGAGCCGGGCGGAGAGCUGAGCCGCAGGCACCCGCGUCUCCAGGAUGAUAGGCGACAUUGCAACAAAUCUCUACACCCAGCAGCUCAGGGGGCUCCAAGCAGAGCAGCAAGUUCGAGGAUCCGGGCGUGGAGCCGAGUGAGGCCGCAGCCCAGCGGGCCUCGGGCGCUCAGCUCAGCUCCGCUCCCCAGCCUUCUCCGCGGCAGCCUCUUCAGCCUGCUGGCCGCAAGUGCGCCCUCUAAAGGCCCCAAAUGCCCUGUACACACCAGGUGAAGAGCGCGGAAGCGCCUGCAGAGCAGAAUUAAAGAAAAAUCUUGGAAAAUGUAUACCAGUCAUGAAGAUAUUGGGUAUGAUUUUGAAGAUGGCCCCAAAGAC